rnacentral:rRNA from 1 species
GACGAACGCUGGCGGCGUGCUUAACACAUGCAAGUCGUACGGUAAGGCCCUUUCGGUGGUACACGAGUGGCGAACGGGUGAGUAACACGUGAGUAACCUGCCCACAACUUUGGGAUAACUCUAGUAAACUGGUUCUAAUACUUAAUAUAUGCUCCUGCUUCAUGGUGGGGGGUGGAAAGCUCCGGCGGUUGGGUAUGGACUCGCUGCCGAUUAGCUUGUUGGUGGGGUAGGGGCCUACCAAGGCGGCGACGGGUAGCCGGCCUGAGAGGGUGACCGGCCACAUUGGGAAUUGGAUACGGCCCCGAAUCCUACGGGAGGCAGCAGUGGGGAAUAUUGCAAAAUGGGCGGAAGCCUGAUGCCGCCACGCCGCGUGCGGGAUGAAGGCCUUCGGGUUGUAAACCGCUUUCAGCAGGGACGAAGCUUUUUGUGACGGUACCUGCAGAAGAAGCACCGGCUAACUACGUG